rnacentral:rRNA from 1 species
GAAUCAACGCUGGCGGCGUGCCUCAGACAUGCAAGUCGAACGCGAAAGUUCCCUUCGGGGAGCGAGUAGAGUGGCGUCCGGGUGAGUAACACGUAGGUAAUCUACCUUUGGGUGGGGAAUAACAACCGGAAACGGUUGCUAAUACCGCAUAAUGCAGCGGCACCGCAUGGUGACAGUUGUUAAAGCGGGGGAUCGCAAGACCUCGCGCCUAAAGAGGAGCCUGUGGCGGAUUAGCAGUUGGCAGGGGUAACGGCCUACCAAGGCAACGAUCCGUAGCCGGCCUGGAGA